UAAAUUGAGAGUUUGAUCCUGGCUCAGGACGAACGCUGGCGGCGUGCCUAACACAUGCAAGUCGAGCGAUGAAGCCCUUCGGGGCUGAUUAGCGGCGGACGGGUGAGUAACACGUGGGUAACCUGCCUCAUAGAGGGGGAUAGCCUCCCGAAAGGGAGAUUAAUACCGCAUAACAUAUUUUGGUUGCAUGACCGAAAUAUCAAAGGAGUAAUCCGCUAUGAGAUGGACCCGCGGCGCAUUAGCUAGUUGGUGAGGUAAGGGCUCACCAAGGCGACGAUGCGUAGCCGACCUGAGAGGGUGAUCGGCCACAUUGGAACUGAGACACGGUCCAGACUCCUACGGGAGGCAGCAGUGGGGAAUAUUGCGCAAUGGAGGAAACUCUGACGCAGCAACGCCGCGUGAAUGAUGAAGGCUGA
rnacentral:ncRNA from 1 species